rnacentral:rRNA from 2 species
UUAUACAGCGAAACUGCGAAUGGCUCAUUAUAUAAGUUAUCGUUUAUUUGAUAGUACCUUACUACUUGGAUAACCGUGGUAAUUCUAGAGCUAAUACAUGCUAAAAAUCCCGACUUUGGAAGGGAUGUAUUUAUUAGAUUAAAAACCAAUGCCCUCUGGGCUCUCUGGUGAUUCAUAAUAACUUCUCGAAUCGCAUGGCCUUGCGCCGGCGAUGGUUCAUUCAAAUUUCUUCCCUAUCAACUUUCGAUGUUUGGGUAGUGGCCAAACAUGGUUGCAACGGGUAACGGAGGGUUAGGGCUCGACCCCGGAGAAGGAGCCUGAGAAACGGCUACUACAUCCAAGGAAGGCAGCAGGCGCGCAAAUUACCCAAUCCCGAUUCGGGGAGGUAGUGACAAUAAAUACUGAUACAGGGCUCUUUUGGGUCUUGUAAUUGGAAUGAGUACAAUUUAAAUCCCUUAACGAGGAACAAUUGGAGGGCAAGUCUGGUGCCAGCAGCCGCGGUAAUUCCAGCUCCAAUAGCGUAUAUUAAAGUUGUUGUGGUUAAAAAGCUCGUAGUUGAACCUUGGGCCUGGCUGGUCGGUCCGCCUCACCGCGUGUACUGGUCCGGCCGGGCCUUUCCCUCUGUGGAACCCCAUGCCCUUCACUGGGUGUGGCGGGGAAACAGGACUUUUACUUUGAAAAAAUUAGAGUGCUCCAGGCAGGCCUAUGCUCGAAUACAUUAGCAUGGAAUAAUGAAAUAGGACGUGCGGUUCUAUUUUGUUGGUUUCUAGGACCGCCGUAAUGAUUAAUAGGGACAGUCGGGGGCAUCAGUAUUCAAUUGUCAGAGGUGAAAUUCUUGGAUUUAUUGAAGACUAACUACUGCGAAAGCAUUUGCCAAGGAUGUUUUCAUUAAUCAGGAACGAAAGUUAGGGGAUCGAAGACGAUCAGAUACCGUCGUAGUCUUAACCAUAAACUAUGCCGACUAGGGAUCGGACGAUGUUAUUUUUUUGACUCGUUCGGCACCUUACGAGAAAUCAAAGUGC